UACGUAGGGUGCGAGCGUUAAUCGGAAUUACUGGGCGUAAAGUGUGCGCAGGUGGCCGCGCAAGUCGAGUGUGAAAGCCCCCGGCUCAACUGGGGAGGGUCACGCGAUACUGAUCGACUCGAAGGCAGGAGAGGGUAGUGGAAUUCCCGGUGUAGUGGUGAAAUGCGUAGAUAUCGGGAGGAACACCAGUGGCGAAGGCGACUACCUGGCCUGUUCUUGACGCUGAGGCGCGAAAGCUAGGGGAGCAAACGGG
rnacentral:rRNA from 1 species